UGUUGCUGUGGUUUCGCGUGCUUCGCGGUGUAGUAGGCCGCUCGAAUGUCAGCCCCCGCGGCCGGCUCCUGUCGGACAGGAACAUUCUACACAACAGUGGAGAAAAAAAGUGCUGCACGUCACACAGGACAUGGCCACGAGCCAGGCGAUGGUACGAAACCAAAGCCCCUUUUGCGCAAGCAAAACAGGGAAGGCAGCUGUUGCAAAACCGUAACUCGGGCCAUGAUCUGGACUAGAUUCUUGUGGACGCAAGAUCGCGUGGUCGCGAUACGGCCAGAUCCGGGCAGGCAAUGUGCCAUUGUGCCGCUCGCGGGGCGCCAUUGCCAUUGUCCAGCGGCUGGCUCGCGGCCGGUUACAUAAACCUACCCCUCCCCACGUUUGGAUUGUUUAUUCUAUCCAAAUAGUGCUCUCGUUUUCCCUUUCACGGACGUGAAAGGAAGAGGGGGGAGGAAGCCUUAAUCCUAGCAAUCUGCAUACCGCAUAAGGCAAUACUCACGAUCGGCCUAUAAUUAUAGAGCGGGUUGAACGACGGCUGAUAGUCGCCGGUAUCGGACGGCCCCCCGUCCCCGGACGCUGACGGUGGUCCGGCGGUGGACGUUACGUAGUACUGCAUGUAAGGGAUCAGCCUCCGGUGCCUUUCGGUUGCCGCUGAUGAGCUGCUGCUGCUGCUGCUGUUGGACAAAGGACCAACGCCGUCGGCUCUGAGGUCACGCACACGCACACCGGGAGGCCGUCAUUAAAUUAAAAGCGAGCAAAAAUAGAAAUGCGGGCCUGUUGACCGGCCGAAGCUUAAUGUGGAAAAUAUGUGGACAAAUUCGAAAUUAUGCUGUGUUCCGUUUUCUAAAUACACACACACUGGAGCAUGGAGCUCCCUGCAUCUAUCCUUCGUCAUCUGCGUCACGAACGGACGCGAAGCCACUUGAGAUCAUCGGUAAUGAGAUCUCGGCACGACCCGGUCACGGCAGUUGCGCGGCGCUCCAGAUCGUUACGACGAUUCCGAACAAUAUGAGUCCGUUGGCCCCACGGUGGAGUCCGGCACGGUUUGCGUGAAUCGGAUCCCAAACCAAACACGCGGGGCACACCGAAUCGAGAAAUUUGUUCCGCGAAACUCUUGUAAAUCACAAACCACCAGCAUCACCAUCAGCGUCGGUGGGCCGCGUUUUGCCGCGUGCCGGAGGCAAAUACCCGUCCCCCUUGUGCCUUCAUAAUCACCUUCAUCCUCUCGAGCGGCAUCCUUUUUGGACGGUGUUUUAAAUAAAAAGGGUGGCAGAGAGAAAAUUGAAGAGCGUUUGCACCCUCGAAGCACGAAUCAGAUGGAUGUAAAGGAAAAUUCAAUCCCUCGAACCGUGAUCCAUCGAUAGCGCGAACGGUGCUGUAAAACAAUAUGCGCAACUGUUUCAGAAAACAAACACGUUUACGCAAGAAAACAAAGUAAAAAAAACGAACCAUACGCGGGCACACGCACCCAAAGAAGCGUGGAAUUGAAAUCAGAGCAAACAUAAAAGGUGUGGAAAAACGGCGCACGAUCACAUGCGUAAAGAUCGCGUCCCUUCACACCAUAUGGAUGUCUUUUGAUCGGACGGAAGAGGAAAGCACAUACAAAUACAUACACAAUACUUUCCACAGAGAACGUCCGGUACUCGGGGUAAGGGUGCCGAUUUGUCGCGGACCUUUCGGGGGUGUGGACGAAGCAAUUGUACUUGAAUGUAAUGAGCGAUGACGUUCAAAGGCGUGCGUACCGACUGACCGACACCCUUUUGGAUCGCUGUGCCGCGGCACGUCGAUUUUGCGCAAACAAUUUGACACCCUUUUCCUACCUCUACCCCUACUGAGCAGCUGAAGCCUUUGAAGUGAGACGAACAGAAUUGGUGGUGUUUGAUCGAUCACAGGGACCCAUCACCGGUUGAGUGGCGAUUGGCGGGUGGUUUUGAUGUGAUCUUCGGUACCGAUUCCUCAGCAAACGAGCGCGCUGCUCAGGUUCAAGUGGUUCUUCGAAUGUAGUGACGAUCGUGCGAACAUUCCAUUGCGAUUUGUGAACGAUUUAUGAGUUCUAUAGUAACGAUCCA